rnacentral:lncRNA from 1 species
GAGAGAGUACAAGUCCUACACUGUCAUACAACACUGUUACAGUUAAUUGGUGGUUGUUCAGUGGGAACCUUCUCUCCUUCAUUAUGAGGAGAGGUGAGCGCCUAUCAGAUCCCCCUGCUGUCCUUCACCCCUUGGUGCAGUCUGCUGACUAUCGCUGGGGCCAGGAAGAAGUCCACCAGCCGAAAUAGGAGCCAAGUUCAUCGCCAUGCAAUGCUCUACUGACUGAGGUUGAAGGACCUCCCACCCUGACACCCUGCAGAUGUAAAGAACUUGUUGUGAACCUGCCAGCCACCAGGAUAAUCACCAUAUCCAAAUAGAUUAUUCAGGAGUGUGCAACAUCACAAUGUUGAAUAGAAAUAGAUUCACCCAUGUUAUUGUUUAUCAUGCAGAUGUUUCAGGACAUUGUAAUUUAUGAAGCCCAUUCUAAAGUACAGAUGUGAUUUCUCUCCCAGGAGAUUGCACCGUGUGCAAUUAGUUGAAUUAGGUGUUAGUGUAGGGCUAGAACAAAAACCUGUAAACUCCUGUCCUGUGUAUAAACAAAACCUGUGGCUGUCAUGACAAAAUUUGCCUUCAUGUACUGAACAAGCCUAUGAAUGUUGGAGGUUCAUCUCCUUGAGUUGUCCCUCACUUGGGAAUUACUUAUUUUGUAAAAGGACUGUGUUAUAAGGACUCAUGCAUGGAUACAGGAUUUAAUUCUAUAUAUUUUUUCAAAAUGACAAGUUUUGACUUCUCAAAUUUUGAGGCUUGGGCAUCUGGCGACUACAGUUCAUCUGUUGAAUCCCCUGCAAGGAGAGAGAAAG